rnacentral:rRNA from 1 species
AGCCAGACUCCUACGGGAGGCAGCAGUGAGGAAUAUUGGUCAAUGGGCGGAGGCCUGAACCAGCCAAGUCGCGUGAGGGAAUAAGGCCCUACGGGUCGUAAACCUCUUUUGCCGGGGAGCAAGGGCCGGGACGCGUCCCGGCCCGGAGAGUACCCGGAGAAAAAGCAUCGGCUAACUCCGUGCCAGCAGCCGCGGUAAUACGGAGGAUGCGAGCGUUAUCCGGAUUUAUUGGGUUUAAAGGGUGCGCAGGCGUUCUGUUAAGUCAGCGGUCAAAGCCCGGGGCUCAACCCCGGCACGCCGUUGAAACUGGCAGUCUCGAGUUGGAGAGAAGUAUGCGGAAUGCGCGGUGUAGCGGUGAAAUGCAUAGAUAUCGCGCAGAACUCCGAUUGCGAAGGCAGCAUGCCGGCUCCACACUGACGCUGAGGCACGAAAGCGUGGGUAUCGAACAGGAUUAGAUACCCUUGUAA